rnacentral:rRNA from 1 species
CCCUUAGAUGUUCUGGGCCGCACGCGCGCUACACUGAUGCAUUCAACGAGCCUAUCCUUGACCGACAGGUCCGGGUAAUCUUUGAAUCUGCAUCGUGACGGGGAUAGAUUAUUGCAAUUAUUAAUCUUCAACGAGGAAUGCCUAGUAGGCGCAAGUCAUCAGCUUGCGUCGAUUACGUCCCUGCCCUUUGUACGCACCGCCCGUCGCUCCUACCGAUUGGGUGUGCUGGUGAAAUGUUCGGAUCGGCCGUUUGUCGCGGUUUCCGCGUCAUGUGGCUGAGAAGUUCAUUAAACCCUCCCACCUAGAGGAAGGAGAAGUCGUAACA